rnacentral:misc_RNA from 1 species
UGGGGGAGCUGGCUUGGCUGCGAUGCGAGCGACUCGGUUUUUCAGUGACACCGAGGCGAUGCUAUCGCAGGCAAGCCAGCUCCCACA